GGAGAGAUGGAUGAGCGGUUUAAGUCGCACGCCUGGAAAGCGUGUAUAGGUUAAUAACCUAUCCGGGGUUCGAAUCCCCGUCUCUCCG
rfam:Burkholderia fungorum strain ATCC BAA-463 chromosome 1, complete sequence.